UCAAACCCAGAGAAGUACGGGUAUUAGUGUCAAAGUAAUCAAGUUUCUUUCUUUUUUUUCUUUUUUUCUUUUUUUCUUUCUCUUUCUCUAAUCAAGUUUCUUCUUCGAUUUCUUCCGACUCCUUCAAGUUGGAAAUUUUGGCUAGAAAUUCUGUCUCUUUUCUCGACCGCCGCCUCUAAAGAUGCUGGCUGUAAACCACUCGUUGAUGAUUUUCUCCCAAGUGCUUGCCCACCCAACAUCAAUGCUCCAUCUGAUUGUAAAAGUUUUCUAAGUUUCAGCUGAUGAACAUGGCGAAGUACAUGCCCAAGGAGAAUAUGAUGUGGAAAAAUCCAUAGUUAUAACGGAUAUCAUCCUCUAGUUUCAUCAUAUCUUUGCUAAAUUGGGAAAUCAUAAGAGCUAUUAAAUGUUUCUUAUUU